AGUGAACGCUGGCGGUAGGCCUAACACAUGCAAGUCGAACGGCAGCACAGUAAGAGCUUGCUCUUACGGGUGGCGAGUGGCGGACGGGUGAGGAAUACAUCGGAAUCUACUUUUUCGUGGGGGAUAACGUAGGGAAACUUACGCUAAUACCGCAUACGACCUACGGGUGAAAGCAGGGGAUCUUCGGACCUUGCGCGAUUGAAUGAGCCGAUGUCGGAUUAGCUAGUUGGCGGGGUAAAGGCCCACCAAGGCGACGAUCCGUAGCUGGUCUGAGAGGAUGAUCAGCCACACUGGAACUGAGACACGGUCCAGACUCCUACGGGAGGCAGCAGUGGGGAAUAUUGGCCAAUGGGCGCAAGCCUGAUCCAGCCAUACCGCGUGGGUGAAGAAGGCCUUCGGGUCGUAAAGCCCUCUUGUUGGGAAAGAAAAGCAGCAGGUUAAUACCCCGCCGUUCUGACGGUACCCAAAGAAUAAGCACCGGCUAACUUCGUG
rnacentral:rRNA from 1 species